rnacentral:rRNA from 1 species
GCGGUAAUUCCAGCUCCAAUAGCGUAUAUUUAAGUUGUUGCAGUUAAAAAGCUCGUAGUUGGAUUUCGGGAGGCGUCCAGCGGUCUCGCUUCGCGUCUGCACUGCUGGACGUCUCCUUCUUGCCGGAGACGGGCCUACGGGCUUUGUUGCCUGGGGCGCGGACUCGGCGACGUUACUUUGAGUAAAUUAGAGUGUUCAAAGCAAGCUUACGCUCUGAAUAUGAUAGCAUGGGAUAACACGAAAGGACUCUGGCCUAUCGUGUUGGUCUGUAGGACCAGAGUAAUGAUUAAGAGGGACAGUCGGGGGCAUUCGUAUUCCGUUGUCAGAGGUGAAAUUCUUGGAUU